GGGGAGAUGGCUGAGCGGUCAAAAGCAGCAGACUGUAAAUCUGCCGGCGUGAGCCUACGUGGGUUCGAAUCCUACUCUCCCCA
rnacentral:tRNA from 1 species